UACGUAGGAUGCAAGCGUUGUCCGGAUUUAUUGGGUUUAAAGGGUGCGUAGGCGGCUUAUUAAGUUAGUGGUGAAAACGUUCGGCUUAACCUGAUACCCGCCAUUGAUACUGAUAGACUUGAGUGCGACAGAGGGUGGUGGAAUGUGUGGUGUAGCGGUGAAAUGCUUAGAUAUCACGCAGAACACCAAUUGCGAAGGCAGAUGCCUAUGUCGUAACUGACGCUGAGGCACGAAAGCGUGGGGAGCAAACAGG
rnacentral:rRNA from 1 species